rnacentral:rRNA from 1 species
UCUGGUGAGCAUAGGGUAGGGGAAACACCCGGUUUCCAUUCCGAACCCGGAAGUUAAGCCCUACACCGCCGAUGAUACUGCCCCCCUUGGGGGUGGGAAAGUAGGUACUUGCCAGGC